GGGAAUGUGGCUUAGUGGAAGAGUGCUUGCUUUGCAUGCAUGAAGCCCUGGGUUUGAUUCCUCAGCACCA
rnacentral:tRNA from 1 species